GACCUGGGGUCCCUGCUUCUCCAGGUGCUCCCGGAUUUUGCUCUCUAGCCUCCGGUUCUCGGUCUCCAGGCUCCUCACUCUGUCCAGAUGUGGGCCACCAGCCUUAAGCCAGAGGGAGCUUUGUAAGACAGGAACAUAUAAAAUGAUAAAAGCUUCUCUACGUACAGUUUUCCUGACUCUGAUUCUGCGUGGGACAACCAGUGAAAAUUGCAGGUGAAGAGAAGAAAUGCGUAUUUAUUCCUCCACUGGGAAAAAAAAUACCAUCCAAAGCUACAUGACUUGAGAGACAAGGUCUCACUAUGUUGCCCAGGCUGGCCUCGAACUCCCGGGCUUCAGCAGUCCUCCCGCCUCACCCUCCGAUGUAGCUAGGACUACAGGACCGCGACCCGGCGCUGCCUAAGAACUGUUUUUAAACGUGAAAGCCACGGCUAUCAUUUGCUUUUUGCUCUGCUCUUCAUCUUCUGGAUAAACCUCGUAACACACUGCUUGUUUUGGGUGGUAGUCUGCUGCCUACGCCCCGUCAGACAAGUGGCCUGAGUCCCCCGCAACCCCUGCAGGUCCGGCCGCCGGCGCCAAGCCUCAAGGCAUCCAAGCCAGGAACGAUCGCGGUCAGCUCUGCCACGGAACAUGUGCAAGACCCGGCAGCAGGUUCCGGGGGAGGCGAAUUGAUUUCACAACGGUCGAGAAGGAGGACCCCGCCCACUUCGUCAUUUCUCGGAAGCCCAGGGACUCGCCGGAAGAGCGGCUCAAAAGCCGGAAAACUGGCAAAUCCGAGUCUCCCGGCGCAUGCGCGGCGCAAUCGGCUUCGCGUGGUUGCAGUAGAGAGGAUCCCUCCGCCAGCCACUGCAUCCGGCGGCCGGAUCUAACUUACCCGCUAGCGUUUUACCCUUGCGCGGCCGUGGCGUAGGGCGGUCUUUUCCCUUGGUCCUCCGCGGCGCCGCCUCUUGUGACGUAAGCCGCAGAAUCCUCUGUCUUAGUUCGGCUCUAUUGCCGCGAGCUUGACUCUUCCUGGGUCUGAGGAAAAGUAAAAGUAAUUUUGUCAUUUCCUGAAACUUCAAGUUAAACCUUUAAGCUGUUCAUUUCCUAAAAGGGUGAAAACGCGGGCACCCCUCGAGCUAGUUCAUCGCCUUUUAACCUGUUGUUGGAUCUUUCCAGAUCACCACACCACAUCACCCAGCCACUCUGCCCAAUGGGAGGGCAGACAGUGUUCCAGUGUAGGAGGAAGGGGUGUAAGGUGCGGGCAGUUUGUGAGGAGGGCACCAACGAGAGCUACUGUGAGAAAGUCUGCAUGGUCAAAAAGUGGAUUACCAAGAACAAAGCAUCAUAAUGUUGUCCAGUGGACCCCAGGUUGAAAAGUCAGGUUCUGGAAUUGGCUGUCUGGAUUAAAAUACUGGUUCCAUCACUGAGAAGCUGUGUGACCUUGCGAAAAUUACUUAAUCUCUUUGUGUUUCAGUUUUCUGAUCUGUAAAAUGAAGUCAAUAAUGCCCCUUUUCUGAGGCCUCCCUUGGCCAGAUAUGAUUAAAUAUUUAUCAAACUAAGGACUCAGCUUACUUGGAGUGAAAACUCUUCAGGGCCUCUCAGAGAUACCUAAGAUAAGUACCUUAUUUUAGUAGCUCUCAAAUAAAGCUUCUUUUAUGCUCUGUCUUUUUCAUAUAUAAAAUAAGGUCUAAUUAGAAAGUUUUAUAAUGGAGGCAGUCAAUUCCCCAAUUCCUUAUUUGUUUGAAUUAACUUUUAAAAAAUUGGGGUGUUCACUCUGGCGUUGGCUCAAUCCAGACUCUGUAAUCAGCCAACAAUCUGUGCUUCACAAAGGCUGGCGUCCUAACUGCCAGCUUCUGCCAUCCGCACCUUUUCCGUGGGGUAAUACAUUUUAAUUGGUACUUCUCUGAGAGCCCUACACAUCUCCAUCUGGCCAAAUAAACAUACUUUUACUAUUCAGCCUCAACAUCUUGGCAGUUAACAAGAGGACAGACUUGCCACAAUGGGUAAUCUUUAAGAUGCAUAAAAUCCUAAAAUUAAAGGACCAGGUACAGGUGGUAUAAUCAAUGGCUGCCUAGAAGAUGGCUCAUCUACAAAGUGGCUUUGUGUUCCACAGUCUUUUUAACACUGCUCUUGUGAUCCUAAAUGCAGUUCCUGAGCCGAGUCAGCAUUGAGAGCUCUCUCCUCUCAAAGGGCACAUUAGUGAUGAAAUAUUUCACUUCCAAUGACAGCAUAACUUUUUGGAUAUAGGCUUAUUAGCAACGUGUUUCCACUGGUUGGAUUGAGCAAGUGUAACCAGAAGGCAGAAUGGUGAAAUGGUUAAGAGCAUGGGUUCUAGAGUCAGGCUGCGUUCAAAUUCUGCUGCUGUUAAUUUAUCUUUGUGACCUUGGGCAGUUACCAUACCUCUCUGUGCCUCAGUUUCCUCAUCAGUAAAGCAGAGAUAAUGUCAGUAUUUUCCUCAUAAGAGUAUUGCAAGGACUGAUUAAAUGAGAUAAGGUGUCUGAUAUGUUUAGCACAGGGCAUGACUUGUAUUUGCUAACAAUUAUUUUUAGGCAAGGUCAGUAGACCAAAUAACUUGAGCAGCAGAAAGGAAGUGGAAGGCGAAUAACCAGCUAUGAGGUUAUUUCUCAGAUAAUUUCUUCCUAUUUCAAUGCUUCACUUUUUACAGUUUAAUCAUCAAGCAACAGUGUUAGGGAUUACGUGAGAUAAUAUGGUCUGUGUGCUGAUUCACUCAUUUAGUGUGGUCUCAUUUCCUUAAAGAACACAUCUUGAGAGAACACUUUUUUUCUCUCUAACCCUCAGGGUCAUCUGGAUGAAAUGAAUACUUUUAGGGCAAAAUGGCUGAUACUGCUUCCUUGAUAACCACAUAUAGAAAACUGACAACUGUUUAGAACAAAGCCAAAGAUGAAACCAAAUAUAAAACCACUGAUGAAAACUAAGUGAAAAAUAUAAGCAAAAUAGAAGAAAAAUAAGGUCGUUAUUUCAAGAAAACGAAAGACAGUCAAUGCUGUUCUUUGUAUUCACAUACAAUUUGGUUCACACCAAAAUUUUUUAUCUUUAUCGUAUAACUGAAUGAGUUAUGUGGCACAUUCCCAUCCAUGCCCAAACCUCUCUUGAGAGAAGCCCAAGUGAUUGACCCAUCAAAUCCCAGCUCAAGAUAUUACUGUUUUCCAGUGGGAACCACCUGAACUGAAGGCAACAGGAAUCGAAGAACAACUCAAGGAAAUAAAUUGCCUCUGUCAGGAAGAAUGCACCUUCCAAUAAGUGAUGAGUGUCACUCAGUUCUGGGAUGAGGAAUGUUUUGCAGUGCUUAUCCGAUCACAAAAUCCGCCAGGGGAAGUUCACUCGGAAGACCUCAACUUUUUCCUACCAGUUAUUUAACCAACAUGGGAGAGAAUAAGACACGGAAAAGGGAUCAGCAAAAAGUGCAAAGCCCCUGCUUUUCCUACUCAAAGUGAGAUCCCUGGACCAGCGGCAUCAGCAUCACCUUGGAGCUUGUCAGAAGUGCAGAAUCUCAGGUUCUGAUCCCAGAUCUACUGAAUCAGAAUGUGCACUUUAAUACGGUCCCCAGGUGUCCAGUGACACGUUCAAAUUUUGAGAAGCGAUGGCCCAGACAAUGAAAUAAGAGAAUCUGAAGUGGACCAGGGCAGAGGCCUUUUUCCUCAAGCAAGGCUGCUGAGGGUUUCACUAAUUCUGUAGUAAGGUGCACAGCAGCUCCCUGAGGUACACAGAAGCUCUUGCUCACCUGCCACUUCCAGCCUUGGUAUUUUCCAGUUGUCGGGUAAG
rnacentral:lncRNA from 1 species